rnacentral:rRNA from 1 species
GACGAACGCUGGCGGCGUGCUUAACACAUGCAAGUCGAACGAAGUGGCGUACGGGUGAGUAACGCUUAAUCAACCUGCCCUUCAGAGGGGGACAACAGUUGGAAACGACUGCUAAUACCGCAUACUGACGUCGUGGAUUGCGUCUGAUUAGCUAGUUGGAGGGGUAACGACCCACCAAGGCGAUGAUCAGUAGCCGGUCUGAGAGGAUGAAGGGCCACAUUGGGACUGGGAAACGGCCCAGACUCCUUCGGGAGGCAGCAGUGGGGAAUCUUCCGAAAUGGACGAAAGUCUGACGGAGCAACGCGGAGUGAGUGAGGACGGCCUUCGGGUUGUAAAGCUCUGUUAAGCGGGAAGAGGGACCGGAAUAGAAAGCCACGGCUAACUCCGUGCCAGCAGCCGCGGAAAUUC